AAAUUAUCCUCAUAAGUUAGACGAAAAGAGGUACCCUGCAUAGCAGGGUGGCACAGAAUCGGAGGCCCCGACUGUUUACUAAAAACACAACACAGUGCAAUCAUUAAUAUGGUAGUAUACUGUGUGAAAUUUGCCCAAUGCCAUUAAUAUAAAAGCGGUCAUGGGAAACUGUGACUAAUUGAAAAUCUGGUUAAUAGCGGUCUUAACCAUGAGGAUCCUAAGGUAGCAAAAUAAAUUGGCCAUUAAAUGUGGUCCGGUAUCAAUAAUGUAACGAUGGCCUCACUGUCUCUACAACUUGCUCAGUGAAAUUGAAUUACGCGUGCAGAUGCGCGUUACCUCCAGGGGGACGGGAAGACCCUAUGCAGCUUCU
rnacentral:rRNA from 1 species